rnacentral:rRNA from 1 species
AGGACGAACGCUGGCGGCGUGGAUUAGGCAUGCAAGUUGAGCGACGGUUAAGGGCUUGCCCUUAAUACGGAGCAGCGAACGGGUGAGUAACACGUGAACAAUCUGUCCCUUCAUUCCGGAUAAUUGGUCGAAAGGCCUUGUAAUACGGGCGAGGGUCCUCGGAAGGCAUCUUUUGAGGAAGGAAGGCGCAAGCCGUGCAGGGAGGAGUUCGCGGCCUAUCAGUUAGUUGGUGGGGUAAUGGCCUACCAAGACGACGACGGGUAGC